AUUGAACGCUGGCGGCAGGCCUAACACAUGCAAGUCGAGCGGGGUUUUCGGACCUAGCGGCGGACGGGUGAGUAAUGCGUAGGAAGCUGCCCGAUAGAGGGGGAUACCAGUUGGAAACGACUGUUAAUACCGCAUAAUGUCUACGGACCAAACGGUGGGACCUUCGGGCAACAGGCAAUCGUAUGCGCCGAGGUGGGAUUAGCUAGUUGGUGAGGUAAUGGCUCAACAAGGCGACGAUCCCUAGCUGGUUUGAGAGGAUGAUCAGCCACACUGGAACUGAGACACGGUCCAGACUCCUACGGGAGGCAGCAGUGGGGAAUAUUGGACAAUGGGCGCAAGCCUGAUCCAGCCAUGCCGCGUGUGUGAAGAAGGCCUUCGGGUUGUAAAGCACUUUCAGCGAGGAGGAAGGGUGGUGUGUUAAUAGCACAUCAUUUUGACGUUACUCGCAGAAGAAGCACCGGCUAACUCUGUGCCAGCCGCCGCAGUAACAC
rnacentral:rRNA from 1 species